GGAGCCCGCCUCACCCAGAACUGAUAAAGGAGAGGGCGUCGGCAGAGCCCGCCUCAUCCAGACCUGAUAAAGGAGAGUUCGUCAGCAGAGCCCCCUCAGCCAGAAUUGGUAGUUUACUGCCCCUUUUUUAAAUUGGAU